rnacentral:rRNA from 1 species
UCGGGAAUAUUGCGCAAUGGAGGAAACUCUGACGCAGUGACGCCGCGUGCAGGAAGAAGGUUUUCGGAUUGUAAACUGCUUUAGACAGGGAAGAAACAAGACAGUACCUGUAGAAUAAGCUCCGGCUAACUACGUGCCAGCAGCCGCGGUAAUACGUAGGGAGCAAGCGUUAUCCGGAUUUAUUGGGUGUAAAGGGUGCGUAGACGGGAAUGCAAGUUGGUUGUGAAAUCCCUCGGCUCAACCGAGGAAUUGCAACCAAAACUAUAUUUCUUGAGUGCUGGAGAGGAAAGUGGAAUUCCUAGUGUAGCGGUGAAAUGCGUAGAUAUUAGGAGGAACACCAGUGGCGAAGGCGACUUUCUGGACAGUAACUGACGUUGAGGCACGAAAGUGUGGGUAUCGAACAGGAUUAGAUACCC